rnacentral:rRNA from 1 species
GAUGAACGCUGGCGGCGUGCCUAACACAUGCAAGUCGAGCGAACGGACGAGAAGUUGGCUUUUCUGAUGUUAGCGGCGGACGGGUGAGUAACAUCUGGAUAACCUAUCUAUAAGACUGGGAUAACGUCGGGAAACCGGUGCUAAUACCGGCUAAUAUCUUGAACCGCAGGGUGCAAAAGUGACAGACGGUCUUGCGGUCACUUAUAGAUGGAUCCGCGCUGCAUUAGCUAGUUGGUAAGGUAACGGCUUACCAAGGCAACGAUGCAUAGCCGGACUGAGAGGAUGACCGGCCACACUGGAACUGAGACACGGCCCAGACUCCUACGGGAGGCAGCAGUAGGGAAUCUUGCGCAAUGGGCGAAAGCCUGACGGAGCAACGCCGCGUGAGUGAUGAAGGUCUUCGGAUCGUAAAACUCUUUUAUUAGGGAAGAACAUAUUUGUACGUAACUGGGCACAUCUUGACGGUACCUAAUCAGAAAGCCCCGGCUAACUACGUG